AUGGCCGGGCCCACGCAGAGCAGCCCGCUCCGGCGAUGGAAGCGUUUCUUCCGCGCCUUCGACUCUGUGGACGCCGCCAUCAAGCCCUCCGACCCUGACCACUCACGCGACGAGCUCCGGCGCGCCAGGGUCGACAUCGUGGAGCAGCUCUGCGACGCCGCGGACGACGACCAGGCGGAGCGCCUCUGCGGGAUGCUCGACGACCACAUGGUGGAGUCCGUUGAGACGCUGCGGCUGGUUCCGGUGAUGCCCAGCGUGUUGGCUUCCACGGACCUCUGCAAGUCCGUCUGCGCGCUGCGCAGGCACGAGUCGAAGCGCGUCCACGUCCUGGCCAGAGGCCUCGUGAGCGGGUGGAGGGCGUCGUUGAAGGACGAGCUCGGCAUGGUCAGAGACGCCAUGCACAAGCUUGACAACAUCAACAUGCCGGAGACAAAGGAGAUCGCCGUCGAUCAGCAGACCGUGGGAAUCAGCAAGAAGGCGCCUGAAGGCGUCCCCCGCUGGACGCAGUUGGUGCAGGCGCCCAAGAUGAUGCAGCCAAUCAGGAGGUGCACCAGCUCCAUGGUCAAGAAAACCUUCGCGAUCAAGACGCAGCUUCACUUUACACAUCUAGACCAUGAGAGCCAGUUAACUCCAUGGUCACCACUGAUAAACAACAGCAGCGACCCCAUGCCCCUCUCUCCAUCCUUUCUAUCCCCAAAUGAUGUAGUUCCUCGAAAAAAAAGCUCUUGGGUGGUCUUUUCAUUUCAGUACCGAAGCCGAAUAGAUCAAUUAGAUGACCAUGGGUAUGAGUCUCUUGCUUCACCUUCACGUGUCCCAUUUCUGCAUCCGUUCUUGCACGAGUCGGAGCGCGUCCGCGUCCUAGCCAAUGGCCUCGUGAGCGGGUGGAGGGCGUCGAUGAAGGACGAGCUCGCCAAGGUCAGAGACGCCCUGCACAAGCAUGACAACAUCGACAUGCCGCAGACAAAGGAGAUCACCGUCGAUCAGCAGCAACAUGUCUCCGCCGAUUCUGACAUCGUCAUGAAGACCGUGGGAAUCAGCAAGAAGGCGUCCCCCGCCAAAUUGACACCAAUGCCGUUCGAUGCAUCAAGCUAA
rnacentral:rRNA from 1 species